rnacentral:misc_RNA from 1 species
GGGUUGCUAGUUGGGCCGGAGUUCCUAGGGUUUUAACUCCUCAUUCAAAAAUCAAAACCCAUAGAUAAUAAUUCGAUCUUCUUCAAUUAGGGACGUUUUCUUCUUCAAUUCCUCCUCCAAUAAUUUAGCUUAGCAACCCGCUCCACCAAUCUGUAUUCACAAUGCCCCAAAACGAGAGUAUUCGCUUCACUUCAUCUUCGCUCAAAAUUCCUUCCCUUCCUCUACGACAGCUGCAAACACAGCCACCACCUCCCUUCCCUUUCCUUUCUCAUAUCUUCACCUCUCAAUUAGCUAAAACAGCAAUCUCUUUCACUAAUUUCAUCGACUCGCUCAUAACUCGUUCUAGAUUACACAUACCUCGCCCCCCCGAUUCCAAAACUCGGAGGUCUAACUUGUUUGCCAACUCACCUCUUAUGUGUUUAGCUUCAUUAUCACUCAAUCGGUCGACAGAUUUAGCUCCUUCCGAGUCACAUAUAAAGUCGCCGAUUCUCUGUUCGGCUUCAUUGUCGGUGAGUCAACCUGCUGAAACGGCGUUGCCCAGCUCAGAAGCCUUGGUGACGCAGCAGAAAGGGGGUGGCGGUGGCGGUGCUGGUGCUCACUCAGCUAGUCGACACGAUGAGGAGAGAGUUUUGAUAAGUGAAGUGUUGGUGAGGAACAAGGACGGCGAGGAGCUCGAGAGGAAGGACCUGGAAGCAGAGGCUUUGGCUGCAUUGAAAGCGUGCCGGGCCAAUUCGGCUCUCACGGUACGCGAGGUUCAGGAGGAUGUACAUAGGAUUAUUGAUAGCGGAUAUUUUUGCUCGUGUAUGCCUGUCGCAGUAGAUACUCGCGAUGGUAUAAGAUUGGUGUUUCAGGUAGAACCAAACCAGGAGUUCCAUGGGCUGGUAUGUGAAGGAGCCAGUGUUCUUCCAACAAAGUUUCUGGAGGAUGCUUUCCGAGGUGGAUAUGGAAAAGUGGUAAAUAUCAGGCAUUUGGAUGAUGUGAUAACUUCCAUCAAUGGCUGGUACAUGGAGCGUGGUCUUUUUGGAUUGGUUUCAGGAGUUGAGAUCCUUUCUGGGGGUAUUAUAAGGUUGCAAGUUGCAGAAGCUGAGGUGAACAACAUUUCCAUACGCUUCCUUGACAGGAAAACUGGCGAGCCAACUAAGGGGAAAACAAAACCUGAAACAAUACUUAGACAACUUACAACUAAGAAGGGACAGGUCUACAGUAUGCUUCAAGGAAAAAGAGAUGUAGAUACUGUGUUAACCAUGGGGAUCAUGGAAGAUGUUAGCAUCAUACCCCAACCUGCUGGAGACACUGGUAAAGUUGAUUUGGUAAUGAAUGUUGUCGAACGUCCGAGUGGAGGUUUCUCUGCUGGUGGAGGAAUAUCUAGUGGGAUUACAAGUGGCCCUCUAUCAGGACUCAUCGGAAGCUUCACCUAUUCUCAUAGGAAUGUUUUUGGAAGAAAUCAGAAACUUAAUAUUUCCUUGGAGAGAGGCCAAAUUGACUCGAUAUUUCGCAUAAACUACACAGACCCAUGGAUUCAAGGUGAUGACAAGCGAACAUCUAGAACUAUUAUGGUUCAGAAUUCGAGAACCCCAGGGAAUCUUGUCCAUGGUAACCAACCUGGUAAUAGUAGUCUUACCAUUGGCCGUGUAACUGCUGGUGUAGAAUUCAGUCGACCACUCAGGCCUAAGUGGAGUGGAACAGCUGGACUUAUUUUUCAGCAUGCUGGUGCUCGUGAUGAAAAAGGAAAUCCAAUCAUUAAGGACCACUAUAGCAGCCCUCUUACUGCAAGUGGCAAGACUCAUGAUGAUAUGCUGCUAGCUAAAUUUGAAAGUGUCUAUACUGGUUCUGGUGACCAUGGUUCUUCAAUGUUUGUAUUGAAUGUAGAACAAGGACUUCCUCUUUGGCCUGAAUGGCUGUUUUUUAACAGAGUAAAUGCACGUGCUAGAAAGGGCAUGGAAAUUGGUCCUGCUCUAUUUCUUCUAAGUUUGUCUGGUGGCCAUGUGGUGGGUAAUUUCUCUCCUCAUGAAGCAUUUGCCAUAGGCGGAACAAACAGUGUGAGAGGAUACGAAGAAGGUGCCGUAGGUUCUGGUCGAUCUUAUGUAGUUGGCUCUGGUGAAAUUUCUUUCCCUGUGGUAGGUGAUUGCAGCCUUAGUUUUUUUCCUUUUGUGAACCUGGUAUCAUUGACUUAUGGUAUUGUCGGUUAUAUUUCUUCCCUAACUGUGAUUUGCUUGAUUACCUGCAAGCUUUCCUGCAAUUGCCCCUAUAAUCUAAAUUUAUUUAAAAAGGUUUAUUCAAUGACCCUUUGUUUUUCCUUGUUUUGCAGUUGGGGCCAGUGGAGGGGGUUUUGUUUACUGACUAUGGAACUGAUCUGGGAUCUGGACCCACUGUGCCUGGUGAUCCUGCUGGGGCAAGGCUGAAGCCUGGAAGUGGAUACGGAUAUGGCUUUGGCAUCCGAGUGGACUCCCCUUUAGGCCCUUUGCGUCUCGAAUAUGCAUUUAAUGACAGGCAUGCAAAGAGGUUUCACUUUGGUGUUGGUCACCGAAAUUAAGGCCCUAUUGCAUCACCUUAUUUUUAGUUGGGUAUAGUCCCCCCCCUUUUGUUCAAUUAACUCUAGUGGUUGUGUUGUCAAGAUCUGUGUUGCCAGUAAAAUGCUUUUGUUUUUAUGUGGUAAUUGUAUUGGUGCCGGCCUUUAAGGCCUGUUGGUUUUUGAAUUUAUGAAGAUGCAUUUACUUUCUCAAUAUCAAUUUAUGAUUGAUGUAUUUAUCUGGAUUCUAGUCAUGAUUGAGUGCAGAGAUGGUUCCAUUUAUUGUGGUCAAAUGUCCAUGGCAAUGAAAUGGAGAUGAUGUUUUCCACUGUUUGGUUGAUCAGAUUCCAUUCAACAUUCAUCUACAGCUCUUCAGAGACGAUAGCUUUGCUUAUCCUUGCAAGCCUUGUCUGAAUGGUAGCAGGAAUAGGUUAGGACUCUCAUUCAAAUCGAAACUGAUGGGUUUUGUUAUAGGUGCGACUAUAAAAUAUUCAACUUAUAUGAAGAUGAAUUUAUCUAUUGUUAUAUUAAAAUUUUCCAUCUAGAUUUGUACAUUAUAUAUACAUUUGAUU